UGCAGUGUAGACUUCAGAGUCUUCCUCUCCUUCUCAACACAUUCAGAUCGUCGAUGCCGAACGCAGGAUUGACUUGACCUCUCACAUUAUUAAGGUGUACUUGACAUUGAAGGUUGAAAAUUUGGGGACAUCUGCUGCUUCUGAAGUACUUUUGGCCUUUUCGCCCACUGAAGUUGAACAUCUUGCAUUACUCAAAGCCGCUACAACUUCUGGUAAGAGGAAGAAGAAAACUUAUGUUCCUCUUGAUGUCAAGUCUGCUAAGCAGCCUGAUGGACCAAAUGGAACUAAGUUUUUCUCUAUAACUUUGUUAACUCCAUUAAGUAAAGAUGAAACCACGACAUUAGA